rnacentral:rRNA from 1 species
CCMGCUCCAAUAGCGUAUAUUAAAUUUGUUGCGGUUAAAGAGCUCGUAGUUGAAGAAACAUCAGCUGACACCCGUGCGCCUUAUGGCUGCGUGAGGAAUAAGCUGAUAUAUUUGGUGUUUGUGAGGGCGCUUGAUUGCCCCUUGCAAUGCUAAAUACAUUACUUUGAGGAAAAUAGAGUGUUUAACGCAAAUUUGUGUCUUAAAUAUGUUAGCAUGGAAUAAACUGAUAUGAAAAUUCUUUUUUUGGUUUUUUGAAUGGUAAUACGAAAAAGAGGGACAGUCAGGGAUAUCCGUAUUUAGCAAUUAGAGGUGAAAUUCUUGGAUUUUCUAAAGACGUACAACAGCGAAAGCAUUUAUCAGGUAUGUUUUCUUUGAUCAAGAACGAAAGUUAGGGGAUCGAAGAUGAUUAGAUACCGUCCUAGUCUUAACUAUAAACUAUUCUAACUAGAUUUUGGCUUUGAUCUAAAUGGACUUAGUCAGAAUUUCGCGAGAAAUUAAAGUCUUUGAGUUCUGGGGGGAGUAUGAUUGCAAGAUUGAAACUUAAAGGAAUUGACGGAAGGGCACCACCAGGUGUGGAGUAUGCGGCUUAAUUCGACUCAAC